rnacentral:lncRNA from 10 species
GGAUACAAAUUCAGAAAUUAACAACAUAUAAUUUCAUAUAGCCUAAGCCUUUAAUAAACAACAAAUAACAUAGUCAAUGAAUAGUAUAUUCUCUCAGAAAAGUAAAUAAACCCUGAGCAAACGUGGUUAUUCUCUUGGUCUGAUUUACAGAUUAUGGACAUGUGGGGGCAGAAAGGUGUUACACGUUUUCUCACCAAUCAUAAAGGUCAGGGACAGUGCUCCUGCAAAAAAAGACAGGUUAACAAGAGAAAAGCAUACAGACUUACUUAAUCAAAGUUUCACAUGACACAGAAACUUUCAGAAAUGAAGACCCAAAGACUCAGAGAAAACUGUCUAUUUUUUAUGCUUUGGUUCAAUGAAGAAUGGGCUGCCAUGUGGAAAUAUGACCGGACCAAAAGGAAACGAUCUAAUGCUAAUAGACUGAGUAGGGAAACUCAGCAAGGCCUGACUGUUCAGAUUCUUCUUGGCCUCUCUGCGUAGCAUUCCUGUCUCCUGGGUCUAGGAUAGGACCCCACUGCAAUGAGGGCCUUAUAGCCUACUGUCAGACAAGGCAUCUGUGAUGGAGCAAAAGUACUGACUUCUGUCAAGUUCACAUGAAACAGAAAUUCACAGAAGUCAACACUUCCAAUCGAUGCAAAUGAUCCUGAUGGAGAAAUUGACAAGAAUUACUGAGGGCAGCAUCUUGAUUCAUUCUCCUGUCAGGCCACAGGAGGCUGAAGCUCUGCUGUCAUUAAACCAAUUGGGGGACUCAAGGAGGGGGAAACGGGGCCAGAGCUGGAGCAGACUUUUUUUUAAAGUUUAAGACAGGAUAAAAGAGCAAUUUAAAAAUCAUUACUUUUUAACCAUGAACACAGCUAUUAUUCUGAACUCCAAAUCAGGGAUGUAAUAGUCAAAAAGACAAAAGAAUAGCAGGGUAAAUUGUUGAAACAAAUCUCUUUGUAGUCGCUAGUAAAAAUCUCAUUGCAAUUCAAAAGAUAAAUGGCAAUUAAGUAGUUUCUGUUAAGUGUUUAUUGUUCACCUUUUAUGUGGGUGGCCUUUUAAGUGAUUUUCUUUUUACAGGAAAAGAGAAAGUUUGUUCUCUUCAGCAUUUGAACUAAACAUGAUGCAAAUGCAUGCAACCAUCAAUUUUAAAAUAAUAAUCGUCUUGAUUUUCUAAGCCGAUAAACCAACUACUACACACAACUUCCUUUUCAGGCUGUUGUUUGCUUGGCUUAUCACAGUUAACUAUUGCACUGUGACUCUGCAUGAAGACAGUAAUGUAAUUAAAUCCUAUUAACACAUCAGGAAUAAAGCCCUUUAAUGGGCACACAGGCUUUGAGAGGCAGCUCGUUCCUGAGCAGAUUUAAUAUCCUUAAAUUAAGCAAGUGUGAAUGGGAAGAUGAAUCUUAUUAAAAACUUAAAUCUGAUUAUAUUUGAAAAUUAUUGGUUCCUUAAUGUAAUAAAUUAUCCAAUACAGACUAGAACAAAUAAUAUGUCCUAGCUUCACAUAACUCCACUCUAUAACAAGUGACAAAAGAAAUUAUGUGUGACUGUGGGGCAAAAAGAAAGGUCUUUUUAUAAAAGUCAUUUUGCAUAAUGAAAUACCUAAAUCAUUUUAAUAAACAUUUGGGGAGGGGGGAGUGCAAAUGACACAGUUGGAGAGGGAAUCAUUUACCCUAUUCAGAAAGGGAAUGUGGAAAUAGUGAUGCUAAUGUUUUUUUUUAAAUUGCCAUUCUGGCCAAUUUGUUGUAAAUUCUGAAAAGAAAAGCUGCAGCUUAUGUUGUUGGUAGCAAAUUCCUUCUCCAGAAGGCUAAUGCAAAUGUAAGCCAUCUGCCACGCAUUCUGCUGAGAAGGCUGGAGUCGCAAACAAUGGGCCAACAGUCUCUGAAUACUAACACACACACUCCACAGGCAAGAAAAGUUUGCAUUUUCCCCAAAGGUAUACUUUACGUUGCUUCCUUUCCCAUCCUCACCAGGACCACAAGGCAUCCACCCGCUCUCUCCUGAUCCAACUGGCACCAGGCGCGCUUCCACAUGAUUAGUCUGAUGAUGUUCACGAGGACAACCCCCAGAGAAGCGUUUCUGUUGAAACUGACUGAAACAGGAAUGCAAGACCUGUUAAAUUAUUUAAGCAAGACAAAUGCUUUACAGUGUGUGUUUUUUAACUUAAUCCUAUUUUAGCAAAAACUGGCAUCGCCCAUUGCACUACACAUCAGAACAUUGCUUGGGUUUUAUCCUUUUAUGACUGGACUCUUUCAGAAGGCUUGGGAACACUGUCCUCAGCUCAUGUGAAAGCCGACGUCUCCCUAGCAGAUGGACGUGUUAAACAGAAAGCACCGGGCAAGCAGACGCUGCAGGGAACCGUCAUAUCUGAAACCAGGGUCUGCUCACAUACCUUCAAGUAAUUCUUCCUGCUCCAUUCGAGGAAAUUCAAAUGCUCAGUUAUUUGGCAAGUGUGCCCAAAUGGCUCAUUCAACAACAUGAUGAAACAUUUAAAUAUUCUUGGUGAUUGGUGAUGAUAGGGCAGAAGAAGAGGCGACCUUCAGUGAACAGCUAUCCCUGGAAUUCUAUCAUCAUUUCCCCUUACCCCCACCCCAGCAGGUUUGGCCGCUGCCAUUUUUCAUUCCAAUCUCUUCUGGCUCUGAUUAUCAUAUUCCCUCUGGCCUCUUACUGGAGGUUCCUCAGACUUGCCAGACUGCAUCUUAUCUUCUGUCCCACUGCUGGUAUACAGCUGCUUUCACUGCCUUGCAUGCCUUUUUCAAGACCCCUCUGUUCACACAUUAUCUUGUUAUCUAAGCAAGAGUCUAGUGUAUGCUCCAGAGCCUAAUUUCCUGGGUUGGAAUAGCAGCUUCCUAAUUUACUAGUGGUGUGGCUAUGGACAAGUUGUUCAACUUCUCCAUGUCUCAAUGUUCUGAACUGUAAAAUGAGCAUAGUAAUAAUAUAACCUACACCAAACAGUAAAUAGGAUGAGGCAUGUGAAACACUUAGCACAGUAUCUAGUAGAACGUGUGCUCAGUAAGUGCUAGCUAUUAUUAUCAUCUCUAUUGUGGAAAUGCAACAAUCCUGUUUGCUGUCCCCUCCAUCUUUCACUCCUUAAUAUUAUCCUUUCUCUGUAUCACCAUGUGCUUCAGCAAAAGUACAUGCUUAUGCUGUUGCCUUCAUCACAUACCUGUGUUAUCUGCUAGAUUAUCAGUUCCUUAUGAGUUCAUCUUUGUACCCAUAAGGCUUAAUACAAUAUCAGGCACAAUAAUAAUUGUUUAAUGCAUAUUUAUUAACUAAAUACAAAAAUUAAUAAAUGAAUAAAUUUAGUAAGUGCUGGAUUAAGCAUAUAACCAAAAUAGGGAGAAGAUAAAUGUUUCCUACCACAAAGAUAAUAAAAUGGCUUUGGAGGAUAGAAAAGGACUACUUUCAAGUGUUGAGAAGGAUGUGAAACAAUGUUACAGUAGGUAGUCAGGCAGACAUGAACAGUGCAGGAGAGAGCUCCCUCCCCUACCAGGAAUGUGAGGUGACCAUCAGGUGACGGUCAGGCAGUUGUUAAACUGUCUCUCUAGAAUAAUAAUUGGUCUCAGCCAGUGCCAAAGAAAGGCAAUCCACCAGUAAAAAGAAACACUUGACAUGGUGACUAGCAGCUUCCCAACAAGAUCUCAGGAGUUGAGUGAGUGGGCUCAAGCACACACAUUAAGAGGCAACAUGGUGAAGUUUAACUGGUAUAUGACCUUUUAGGGACAUUUGACUGGUAAAGGAAGAACACCUCAAGUGAGCACAUAUACAACACCAGUAAACACUGCGCAUGCUCCCCUCCCAAGGGCUAGCAGGCCACUGUGCAUGCGGACAGCCCAUCCCAAGGGAAGAAUCAGGGGAAUAGUAACACAAGACCCUGGAAGUAUGUCAGCAUAUAAAACCCCAAGUUGAAAGGUCAAACCGUGCACUUGAUCUCUCAAGUCACCUGCCUGACCCUCUUCCAAGUACGUUACUUCCUUUCAUUCCUGCUCUAAAGCUUUUUAAUAAACUUUCACUCCUGCUCUGAAACUUGCCUUGGUCUCUCACUCUGCUUUAUGCCCCUCAGUUGAAUUCUUUCUUCUGGGAGGCAAGAAUUGAGUUUGCUGCAGACCCGUAUGGAUUCACCACCAGUAACAGCAACAGGAAAUUUUAAUACACUGCUGAGAAUAGUGUAAACUGCCUCAAUAAUUAGAAAAACUAUUUAGGAA